GCAUAACAGCUUGAGGCUUUGCGGGCAUCACC
rnacentral:scRNA from 1 species